AAUUACAUAACGAAACCUGCCCUCCCCUCGCCUGCCUGUUACUCUCCCCGUUUCGCCGAAAACCGCCGCCUACCUUCCCCUUCCUCCGAAACCCUAGCGAUACAGUGGCGACUAGAGCUAGCUGGGAAGGCAGCGACGGGAUUGUGGUGUUCAAAGACCUCCGCAACUCUUAUCUUUCUCCUCCUUCCGCUCCGCUCCUACCCGAAAUCAGUCAGAGGAUAUUGCUCAACGCUUGGUUGAAAAAUCUUGAAGGAAUCGAAAUUAAGCGAAGCUCUUUCACAGAAGACUGCAGGUGAAAAAGGAUGAUAGUCAACAACUUCAACUCACUCUCAAAUACAACCAAGGACAAUACAAAUUUCACUUUCAUUAAUUCCAAGCUCUCCCUAUUGAGUCUACAAUGGAGGAGCAACUCUCUCUACUUCUUGAUUCAGCUUCUCUUUUCCCUCUGCCACAUGGGUUGAAGUUCUCUUAUGGUACAUCAGGAUUUAGGGCAGAGGGGUCGAAGCUGUCAUCCACAGUGUUCCGAGUUGGUGUUGUGGCCGCACUAAGAUCCCUGAAAACUGGCCAUGCUGUUGGUCUUAUGAUCACCGCCUCCCAUAACCCCGUCACAGAUAAUGGUAUAAAGAUUGCCGAUCCUGAUGGCGUUAUGAUGACUCAGGAUUGGGAGCCCUUCGCUGAGGCUCUUGCUAACGCCCCAGAUCCUCAAAUUUUUGUUGAGUUGGUUCUUAAUUUUGUCAAGGAAGAGAAUAUCCCAUUAGACGGCGAAAGGUCUGCAGAGAUCUUGUUGGGAAGAGACACUAGACCUACUGGUGAAGCUCUCCUUCAAGCUGCUAAAAUGGGAAUUAAAAGCAUCAUUGGUUCUGUUGCACUCGAUAUGGGGAUAGUAACAACUCCUCAACUUCAUUGGAUGGUUCGGAGAAAGAAUAUGGGAAUGAAGGCAACUGAGUCUGAUUACUUCAUGCAGCUCUCAGACUCUUUUAGGAUCCUGAUGGAUAUGAUCCCUAACAAUAAAAUAAUGAAUGAGACUGUAAGUUCUCAGCUUAUAGUAGAUGGAGCCAAUGGUGUUGGUGGAGACAAGCUUCAGAAACUUAAAGAAUUGUUGUCGGGCCUUGAAAUCGAGGUGAGAAACACUAGCGAACAGGGAGAAGGUAUACUGAAUGAUGGGGUUGGUGCUGAUUUUGUUCAAAAAGAGAAGCUCGCUCCUCGAUGCUUUGGUCAUAAUGAUCUUGGACUAAGGUGUGCUAGUUUUGAUGGGGAUGCUGAUAGGUUCGUGUAUUUUUGUAUCUCGAAAAUAAGUAGCUGCAAUAUUGAUCUUGUAGAUGGAGACAAGAUAUUAUCUAUUUUUGCAUUAUUCAUCAAGGAACAGCUGCAUUGUUUGAACAAAAGUGAAACUGAGGGCUUAAUUAAUGUAAUACCUGCGAAGGUUGGCGUUGUACAGACAGCUUAUGCUAAUGGCGCAUCUACUGAUUUCCUCAAACAACUUGGUCUGGAAGUUGUUCUUACUCCUACUGGCGUGAAAUAUCUACAUAAGAAGGCUGCAGAAUAUGAUAUAGGGAUCUAUUUUGAGGCAAAUGGACAUGGGACUAUUUUAUUUUCAGAAGAUUUUUUAUCUAAAUUAGAGAAAAAGAGCAAUGACUUGGCGUCUUCGAAUGCAGGUUCAGAGCCUCAUAGAGCUGCUUUAAGAUUGUUGGCUGUGAGCAAGUUAAUCAAUCAGGCAGCGGGUGAUGCUCUUAGCGGGCUUCUUUUUGUGGAGGUUGUGCUGAAAUAUAUGCGGUGGUCAUUGCAGAACUGGAUUGAACUCUAUGAUGAUCUUCCAAGUAGACAGUUAAAGGUAAAGGUUGCAGAUAGAACUGCUGUCAUCACAACAAACACAGAAACACGAGUUUUGCAGCCCUCUGGUUUACAGGAAGCAAUUGAUAAUGAAACUGCGAAGUAUCGUCGAGGACGUUGUUUUGUUCGGCCGUCCGGUACGGAGGAUAUAAUACGUGUAUACGCUGAGGCAUUUUCACAGGAAGCAGCUGAUUCUCUUGCUGCGGCUGCUGCACAUCAUGUUGAUCGCUUUGCUGGAUUCAGAAACUGACAGCAUUUGACUUGAAUAUAGGGGCACGGUCACAGUUUGGAUGGAGCUUUUUGUUGGGACAUCCGAGUUGUGCAAAUUCAAGCUCGAAUGGGCUUGAAUUGGUUUAUCUGUUCGGCGUGAGUUGAACUGGCUUGGGUGGCCUGUGUUUCAUGUGCUUGGGAGAAAAUGGGCAUCAAUGCAGAGUAGAUUUAACUUUAACUUGGGCAACGUGUAGGCAAUGGUACAUGCUCAUUAUUGUGCUCUUCAUUUGAGGUAAUUUGAGAUUUUGAAGAAGUGCUUUUAAUACUCGAUAAUUUUGUGAGUAGUGCAUUGAGAGAAGUUAAUACUUGGUAACUUUUUGAGUUAGAGUUUUUCCGUGUAAAAAUGAUGGAAUAUUAUCCCCCUUUUACAGCGAUCCCAAUCAACACAUAUGAUGAAUGAUAUGAUGAAUCUUCUCAUAAUUAUUCUUUUAAUCUAAUUGUUGAAAUUUAAACCUGUCACUGUUAACACUUUCAUGAGAUCAUUAUCGACAACUUGUAUAUUCUAAUCGUGAUCAAAGGCAUCACCAGUGGCGGCCACUACUAG